GUCAGCGAACGAGCGCGCGCAAUAGCGCGGGGCAGGGGUCGCCGCGGCCGGAAGCCCACGCGGGGGGUUGCAGGGACGGGUCGUAAGGGGCGGGGCGGGCCUCGAGGAGGCGGCGGUGGGGUCCCCGGACCUCCGCGCGUGGCACAGCCCGCAUCCUGAACUGACUCCCACUCGAGGACCACCUCUCCUCUCCCUUCUGAGGGCGGAACGGAAAGGCCAAGCGCCUCCUCGCCUCGGGAGCUGCAGGACGCCCUAAUUCAGCCGAGUCGCCGCGUGCCCGGGUGCCCGCGAACAGCAGGAGAGAGGACGGGCGCUGGCCCCACAGGGGUCGCUUUACCCCUUGAAGAGCUCCUCGCUGCCUGCCCUGGGGGUGGUGGGCGUCCAGGUUCACAGGGUACUUGAGCUUGCUGGGGUGGGGGUGUGUAUGAAGUGCGUCCAGGGUUUUGUGGAGCGCGUCUAGCAGUUGCUCUACUUCUUACUGACAGUGAAACAAGGGCGCCCACGACAGGUGUUCCCUUUUCGCUGUCGCUGCCAGGAAGCUUCCAGCCAGGUUCAGCGCCCAGUGGUGUCAGCCGGCCCAUCUCGAGCCUUGGUUCCGCUGUCAUCUUCUGGUGCUUAUUCUGGUGUUUAUCCAACUGUCCGUUUUGAAAUUAUGUUCCCAAGCCAUUUAACACCUCUGGAGAACCAAAGCACUGGCUGUCAGCGGAGCGGGAUGCACGCGCAGCGGAGGGGACUGGGCACGCCAACCCCACGAGGGUUCCUGCGGAGAUGACACGGACCUUGAGGUCUGAAGCCAAAGGACGAUUUGUGUGAAGGGAUUUUAUUGUUAGCUUUGGAGCCAGCAACAAGAACACAGCCCUGGAGUUCCCGGGGCAAAAAGGAUACCAAGAUAAUAAUUCAGGUAUUACGACUAACAUGACUGCAUUUGCACCCACAGGCUGUGGGACUUGGGGACGUUUGAGCUACAUCCAAAAUACAUGAGAAAAUCACACAAGUGAAAUUGGAUGAGAGUGCGAGGGGUGAAGUGAUACAUUAUGACCUAGAAUUAGGGGAGGCUUCCUGGAGCAGGUGACAUUUGCAUUGGGUCUUGAUUGGGAAGAGUGGAACCCAGCAGUCUAGAUAGGGUCCAGAGGUAGGAGGUACCUCGCAUCCCAGGCUGCCUCAGUUCAUGGUGAGAGUGCAGAUAUUUAGUGAAACAGGAGGAAAGGACACUUGGAAAUACACCAUGAAAGAAGGAUUGAAGUUCUUGCAGACACAUGGGAGUGUCCGAGGCUUUAUUCUCCUUCCACCUUGAGCCAGUGGAAUUGCAGUGUCUUUUUUCUACACCUAUGCAGUUUUUUCUACACCUGUGCAGUUUUUUCUAGGGGAAGAUCAGACCCUCCUCUUUGGGAGGAACUCUUGCUUCUUUAGAUAAUAGCAGUGACAUUUUCUAGCCUGAAAAUUAUGAUGUAUGCCCUGAUAGGUUUAAUUAUUUGAGAAGUUCUCACAAAGGUAUACAGAUGUGCUAAGAGUAUCAAGUCAAGUGAGUGACUCUCAAGCUUCAUUAUGGGGAAGAAUAUUUGGUUUGCUUGUUAAAAUGCAGAUUCCGGCCGGGAGCAGUGGCUCAUGCCUGUAAUCCCAGCACUUUCAAAGGCCAAGGCGGGCGGAUCACGAGGUCAGGAGAUCGACAUGGUGAAACCCCGUUUCUACUAAACCCCAACAUGGUGAAACCCCGUUUCUACUAAAAUACAAAAAAUUAGCCAGGCAUGAUGGUGUGCGCCUGUAGUCCCAGCCGCUCAGGAGGCUGACACAGGGGAAUCGCUUGAACCUGGGCGGUGGAGGUUGCAGUGAGCUGAGAUCGCGCCACUGCACUCCAGCCUGGCGACAGAGCAAAACUCUAUCUCAAAAAAAAAAAAAAAAAAAAAAAUGCAGAUUCCUGGGUCCCACCCCCAAAAGAUGCUAAUUUUGUAGAUCUGAGUAGGACCUAAGGGUCUGCAUUUUUAAUACUGAAGCAUGUGGUCUUCAAGCUUAUGGCAUGUAGUAGGGACAGGACGAAAAAUGAAACUGGAGAAUGAAAUGAAACCGAGUCAGUAUGAGAAGGGCCUCAUGCACAGCACCUGGAGUUUGGACUUCAUCCCGUGGUCUGCAAUAAGUGAGUAGAGGUUUCUAAGUCAUGUGGUUAUUUUUAAAAGCUAAUUCUAGUAUUGAGAAGGAAUGGGAGUGGAAACAGAUAGUAGGUUGAAUGAAGGAAUGAAUGCAGUAAAAUGCUCAGUGAAAGAUGUGGCACUUUUUGUUUUCAGUAUUCUCUUGCUUUGAACCAAAACCACUUAGAAUGUAUUUCUUUUAAAACCUGUAUGUCAGUGUAAAUAUUCACAAACAACUGUAUGUUCUGACCUAUGUCUUCUGGACUUCCAGAGUUAGCAUUAACAUUAUUAGCUGCCAGGCCAACAAAACCUUGAGUAAUCCUGCAAUACUCGGAAUCAAGAAAAGUGGCUACAUCAUGGUCAACUUUGAAGAACAUCAGCCUCAAGAUCUUUUAUACUAACUCAUAUGUUUAUUAAAAUCUAUUACUAAAACAGAUUUUUAAAAAUUAUCUUGAGGUUAUAAUGAGACAUAGUGCUUCUACCUAAUUCCUAUUGGGAAAAAAAAAUGUUGAGAUUUGGGGACCAAGAAAAAAAAUUCUGAUCGCUUUUUUUUUUUUUUUUUUUGAGAUGGUGUCUCUCUCUGUCACGCAGGCUUGGAGUGCAGUGGCAUGAUUUUGUCUCACUGCAACCUCUGCCUCCCGGGUUCAAGUGAUUCUCCUGCCCCAGCCUCCUGAGUAGCUGGAAUUUCAGGCACCCACCACCAAGCCCAGCUAAUUUUUGUAUUUUUAGUAGAGACAAGGUUUCACCAUGUUGGCCAGGCUGAUCUCAAACUCCUGACCUCAAAUGAUCCACCUGCCUUGGCCUCCCAGAGUGCUGGGACUACAGGCAUGAGCCACCGCUCCCAGCUGAUUGCUUUCAAUUAGUAUUGAUAAUAGUUUGAAACUGGGACAAGUAGCCUAGUCUUGGCAGUCUUUCUGCUCCUUAGCUCAGCUAGGUCCAAGUUCUUGUCUCACAACCAGGAAAAACUAGGCACACAGACACCGGAAAGUGAGUGGAGUGGAAUUGAUUAAGCAAAAGGAAAGCUCUCAGCAAAGAGCGAAUGCUGGGAGCAGUUCCCCUACCCGAAAGUGGGAAAAUCCCCUCUCAUGUGGCUGAGCCUGGGGCUUUUAUGCACUCAGAAUGGGGAGUGCAUGCUGAUUGGUUUGUGAGUUUGCAAAAAAAGGUUAAAGCAAAGACACCACUCAAAGGCAGGCACGACAGUGUAGAAAACCAAUUAGAAAGGGUAAGUAUACGUAAAAUAGGUGAAGGGUGGAGAUCAGAGGAAAGCGUGCCAAACAGGAAGACAAGUUCUCAAUCUAGUCUGAAAAUUUAACUUGUAGUUUGGCUUUCAGGCUUUAAACUGUCUUCAGCUUGGAGGUGGGGUUUCACCGGGGACCUGCCUCUAUCUGCCUAGGCGUUUGACUGUCUUCUGUUGCUGUCACUAGUAGCACAAUAUAAAGAUUUUGUGCUACUGUUUCACAGUGAUUUGCAAUUAGUGCUUUUUUUUGUCAUGUAGUUUUGUUUUUAGUGCAUUAUUCUUUAGGAGAAUUUAUCCGUGAAGCUUGGGUAUCACAGCUUACUGCUAUGUCCUUGAUUUAUACUUCUCAUUGACUGUGAGAAGUGAUGGCUAGUUUUCCUGCUGUGAGCAGGUUUGGUGAUAUACAAUACCAUUCGCAAGAUGUUAUAUAUGUGCAUUGUCACAUUUCUUUCAAAAAUGAUAUUUCCAAUUUUUCCAAACAUUCAUAUCUUCUUUCUGGCCAUCAUACUGAUUUUAUUACCAAAAUAAAAUCUUAUCAUUAACUCUGAAAACAAUUUAAAUAACUAUAAGCCAUAGUUAGGGAAUGAUUUUUAAUAAAACCUAGAUACAAACACCAUCAUUUUCUCCUCUAAUAGCAGGUUGUCUUGCCUGACUCUCAAAAAUGAGGGAGCUAAAUCAUACAGAUAGGUGACAUGUUCAUGGCUAUAAGGAACACCAUAGCAUAAUAUUUGGACAGUAAGACAUAAUACAUAUCCUGAAAAAACUUUGAUGUGUAGUCAGUGUAACCCUUGUCCCCUGUCCUCCUCCCUAACCUCAGGAAAGAUCCACACUUCCACAUUUAUUCCCUACCCACCUUUGGUUUUGAAUCCUCAUUUCCACAGAUGCAGCAUGACAUCUGUAACCCCUACAAAUCUGCAUACCCCUCCAGCCUUCCCAGAACUUCAUUCCCUCCAUCUUCAUUGCCUUAGCUCCUUUUGUCUUUAAGUAUUCACUCACUAAGUCAAGAAAAUAUUGGAGGGGGGGUGGGGCAAAACAACUAGGCUUUAAAGGUGGGGGAUUACCCAGAUCAACACAAGUCUCCCACUUGAACAACUGCUCUUUGACACCUGUACCCUGAGAUGUGACUAUGGAUUAAAGUCAUAGCACCCCUGCCUCCAGGUUGGAAAGUUUUAUGGAAAAUGAACAUAUUUUAUUAGAAGACAAUGAGAACUUCCUGGAGCAGAUGAGUAAACACACCCUCAUGUUUACCUGAUAACUGAAAUCAAAGAUGAGGUGUAGCCUCUGGUUUGAAAUGUUACAAAGUGUAAAAUUAAGAUAAAGGCAGAAAAAUGAAAAGGAAAUAGCCAGUUUUGAAGCAGAAGAACUCAGUGGGACAGGGGCCAAAUCAGUGAAAGAGGUGCUGCUCAGAUACCAGAUUUAAUGACAACCAAAGUGGCCCAAAUAUCCAAAAAAAAUUGCGCUUCUGAAAACCAGUAGGAGGUUGCAGUGGACUAAAGAUGGCCACAAAAUUUUUAUCGUUUUCCCCGUCAAGAAUGGGAGUUUAUUUUUCAUCAUCUUGAAUCUGGCCCUGUGACUGCAUCACCAAGAAGACACUGCAGAAGUGAUGCUCUGCCAGUUCUGGUUCUAGUCUUUUAGAAGACUGUUAGCCUCUACUUCCUCUUUCUUCAAAUGAGCUCUCUUGGGACACCCUCUCUCAGAACCAAACCACCAUGCAUGGGGCAUGUGUGGCCUCUUCACUCAGGAGCCCCAGCAGAGCAACCAGCCAGUACUGAGCAUCAAGUGCCAGUCAUGUGAAUGAGCCAUCUAGGAUGUUCUUUGGUCAAGUCUAUACAAAAGAACUUACCAGCUGAGCCCAGCCAACACAUAGAAUUAUGAAAUAGUAAAAUGAUUAUUGUUUAAAGUCAUGAAAUUUUGCAGUUUUUUUAAUAUAGCAAUAGAUAACCAAAAUCAAGAUUAAAUAAAAUAUCAGAUGAUUAAAAUGGAGCAUGAAAAUGGAGUUAACUUUGUAAGAAGAACCACAACCCCAAUGAUCAUGACUUAGAGGAAAGUUCAGUAAAUAAAACAGAAAAUAUUGAAAAAGGCUGUUUCAUUUUAAACCUGUGUCAAGCUCCUAGACCUAAAAUGACACUUGAAAUUGUCCUCCAUUAGAAUUCAUUGUGCUACAGAUUUUCUCUCAUUCUGUUACAUAUAUUUAUUUAAUGAAGUAGAGAAAUUCUUCUCUCAUAAGCUAAUGCUGCAAGGUGUUUUUAUAUGUAUUAUAUGUAUAUGUACAUACAUAUAUUUUUUAUAUUAACAUAACAGUUUAUAAUAAAUGUUUAAGUGUUUUAUAAUAAUAUUUAUACAUUUAUCACCAUAUAUACACACACACAAAUAUAUGUAUACACACACAUAUACAUACAUAUAAAUGUCUGGGGAUAGAAAGUGAGACCCUCAGAAUCUUGGAUGUAGCCUGACUGCUCUGCACCCAACUGGGGAGGAGUGAGGGGAGAAGAAAGUAGAGUUCCAGCCAGAAAGGUGACAGAAGACUGCCCAAAGCUUCAUGUAACCAAUCCCUCAAGCCUGCGGAAAAGUUACUAAAUGUUUGGUGCCAGUGCCUUCCUGCAGAGUCAGUGAUGCUUAUGCUUGGUACUGAAUCAGAGACAGCACCUUCAACCAUAGUCACACGUCUGCAAAAGACAGAAAAAUCCAGUCUGAUAGCUUUGUUCUAUGUAUUUGUUCGUGUUUACACCAAGGAUUGUAGCCUGCAGCUCCUGAUCUUUUAUUCUGAAACGUUCUGGAAGUAGUAAAGGCUACUCUAUAACAUACUUGUUUUAAUAAAUGUAUUCUCCAUUUUUUAAUGCAAAACUGGCACAACCAAGAGAGGUGCCAUAUUUUGACUCAUAUUUUUACUUCACCUCUUCAUAUAACACUUCAUUCAGUGUCCUCAAUCAGGUUCUCAUUCAGGUUCUCAAUAGAGGCCAAUUUUGCACCCCCCACCCCCUGCAGCA
rnacentral:lncRNA from 1 species